AACGAACGCUGGCGGCAUGCCUAACACAUGCAAGUCGAACGAUCCCUUCGGGUUUGGUGGCUCACCGGUUCGUAACGCGGGGGAUCAUGCCCUUGUGAUCGGCAUAACUCAGAGGGAUUUGAUCUAAUACCGGGUAAUGUCUUCGGACAAAAGCUCUAUCGCCUUUGGAUGGGGCGGCGUUGGUUUAGCGAGGGGGUGGGGUAAAGGCCUACCAAGGCGACGAUCCGUAGCGUGUCUGAGAGGAUGAUCAGCCAGACUGGGACUGGGACAAGGCCCCGACUGCUAGGAGAGGCAGCAGAGGGGAAUAUAGGGGAGGGGGCGAGAGGCUGAUACAGCGUGGGCGCGUGGGUGGUGAAGGCGUUAGGAUCCUAAAUCGCUUUUGACCGAGAUGAGAGUGACGGUACUGGGUGAAUAAGCACCGGCUAACUCCGUG
rnacentral:rRNA from 1 species